GGAGGGAGGGCGGCUGUGAACGCGCCUUGCUUUCUGCGCCUCCGCAGUUUCUUGCUCAGUUGAUCAUCUUGCUCAUCAGCCUCGUCAGCUCCAUCUUCUGUGGACAUCUGGGCAAGGUCGAGCUGGACGCUGUCACGCUCGCCGUCACGGUACGAAAGAGAGGUUUUACUGAAAGAAAAUGUUUGAAUAGACAGUAUAAACAAAACAAAUGAGUGACUGGCACCUACAACAACAGGGUGAGCCUGUUCCGCACACCUGCUAUGAAGCAGGCUGCUGGGUGUCCUGUACGCAAGAACUUAAGCAACUUGGCCCAGAUAUCUUCCAAGCUGCCUCUCCUCCACUUCACAUCAGGGCCCAUUUGCCCUUCAGGAGCUUUUCUCUCUCUGCUGCUGUUCUGGAAACUAUGACCUACCAGAUCAUUCAGAAGCAUCUUCAAGCUUCUGGUUGGGAUGGCUAGACGCUGCACCAACGGAGGAGACUAAUCUGGUCAUCUCAGUUCCUGAUCAUUCCAGUCCUGCGUAACUUUGCCAUCAUUUAAAUUGUUCCCUGUUUAACUAGGAUCUGCCUGGGCCAACACCACUUCCAGUUCUCCCUGUCUGCUCUGCUUUUCCUGUAUAUGUGGUGGAAAAAAGUCUACGUCGACACCUGGGGAGGUAAAGGUGUGUCCGGAAUUUAUUCCUUCCGGUGGGUUCUUGGUCUCCCUGACUUCAAGAAUGAAGCCGCGGAC